UCCUCUGGUGAAUGUGUAGCUACAGGAAGGC
rnacentral:piRNA from 1 species